rnacentral:rRNA from 1 species
CCCUUAGAUGUCCUGGGCUGCACGCGCGCUACACUGAUGUGUCCAGUAAGCACCUAACCUCUUCCGAAAGGAACGGGUAACCUUUGCAAAGCACAUCGUGAUGGGGAUAGAUUAUUGCAAUUAUUAGUCUUGAGCGAGGAAUUCCUAGUAAGCACAAGUCAUCAGCUUGUGUUGAUUACGUCCCUGCCCUUUGUACACACCGCCCGUCGCUCCUACCGAUUGAAUGUUCCGGUGAGCUCUUCGGACUGCGCGGUCUGCAGUUUCUGCGUUCCGUGCGGAAAGUUGCGCAAACCUUAACAUUUAGAGGAAGGAGAAGUCGUGACA